UACAGAGGUGGCGAGCGUUAUUCGGAAUUAUUGGGCGUAAAGGGCGCGUAGGCGGCUUGACAAGUCCCGGGUGAAAUCCCUCGGCUCAACCGAGGAACUGCCUUGGAAACUGUCUGGCUUGAGGCCGGGAGAGGGUAGUGGAAUUCCCAGUGUAGCGGUGAAAUGCGUAGAGAUCGGGAAGAACAUCGGUGGCGAAAGCGCUCUACUGGGCCAUAACUGACACUCAGGGACGAAAGCUAGGGGAGCGAAUGGG
rnacentral:rRNA from 1 species